rnacentral:rRNA from 1 species
CAGCAGCCACGGGAAUACGGAGGGUGCAAGCGUUAUCCGGAUUCACUGGGUUUAAAGGGUGCGUAGGCGGAUCUGUAAGUCAGUGGUGAAAUCUCCAGGCUUAACCUGGAAACUGCCGUUGAUACUAUAGGUCUUGAAUUUUGUGGAGGUUAGCGGAAUGUGUCAUGUAGCGGUGAAAUGCAUAGAUAUGACAUAGAACACCAAUUGCGAAGGCAGCUGGCUACACAACUAUUGACGCUGAGGCACGAAAGCGUGGGGAUCAAACAGGAUUAGAUACCCCAGUAGUCCCUGUCUCUUAUAC